rnacentral:rRNA from 1 species
UGAAUACGAGAUGCUACGGCGUCGAAGCAGUGUAUGUCAGACUUCCAAGAAAAGCUCGCAAUGUCAUAAAUAAAUAAUGCCUGUACCAUAACCGACACAGGUGGGUAGGUAGAGUAUACUAAGGGGCGCGAGAUAACUCUCUCUAAGGAACUCGGCAAAAUAACUCCGUAACUUCGGGAGAAGGAGUGCCUUAUUUAUAAGGUUGCAAUGACAAGAUCCAAGCAACUGUUUAUCAAAAACACAGGUCUCCGCUAAGUCGUAAGACGAUGUAUGGGGGCUGACGCCUGCCCAGUGCCAGAAGGUUAAAGAAGUUGGUUAGCAUUGCGAAGCUGAUGACUGAAGCCCUGGUGAACGGCGGCCGUAACGAUAACGGUCCUAAGGUAGCGAAAUUCCUUGUCGGGUAAGUUCCGACCCGCACGAAAGGCGUAAUGAUUUGGAUACUGUCUCGGAGAGGGACUCGGUGAAAUAGACUUGUCUGUGAAGAUGCGGACUACCUGCACCAGGACAGAAAGACCCUAUGAAGCUUUACUGUAACUUGAAAUUGAAAUUGGACUUUAUUUGCGCAGUAUAGGUGGGAGGCGUUGAAAAUAAUCUCGCGGGAUUAUUGGAGCCAUCAGUGAGAUACCACUCCUAUAAUGUUAGAUUUCUAACUUUGUAUCAUUAUCUGGUCAAAGAACAGUUUCAGGCGGGCAGUUUGACUGGGGCGGUCGCCUCCUAAAUGGUAACGGAGGCGUACAAAGGUUUCCUCUGAACGGGUAGAAAUCGUAUCUAGAGUAUAAAGGCAUAAGGAAGCUUGACUGUGAGACCUACAAGUCGAGCAGGGACGAAAGUCGGUCUUAGUGAUCUGACGGUGCUGAGUGGAAAGGCCGUCACUCAACGGAUAAAAGUUACUCUAAGGAUAACAGGCUGAUCUCCCCCAAGAGUUCACAUCGACGGGGAGGUUUGGCACCUCGAUGUCGGCUCAUCGCAUCCUGGGGCGGUAGUACGUCCCAAGGGUUGGGCUGUUCGCCCAUGAAAGCGGUACGCGAGCUGGGUUCAGAACGUCGUGAGACAGUUCGGUCCAUAUCCGGUGUAGGCGUUAGAAUAUUGAGAGGAGCCUUCUUUAGUACGAGAGGACCGAGAAGGACAUACCUCUGGUGUACCAGUUAUCGUGCCAACGGUAAACGCUGGGUAGCUAUGUAUGGAGUGGAUAACCGCUGAAAGCAUCUAAGUGGGAAGCCCACCUCAAGAUGAG